rnacentral:rRNA from 1 species
AUGGCUCACGAUGCACCAAGCAACAAUAUUAUCAGGGAUGUUGUAGCGCAAGGAAGUGAUCAACGUGAUUAUCAUGCUGUACAUGAUGAAAACCCAUCACUCAUGGGCCCUCUUAGGAGCAUAUCAGAAAACAUAGAGCGGGUUGAGAAUGAAUACUCAGAUGAAGAGGACGACCCGCUGCCAGGCGUGGAAGGGCUAAGAAUCACCGGUGAAGCUUUUCCUGGAGGAGAACUUCAAUGGGUACGCCAUUUGGAAGAUGGAUCGCAGAAGUUCAUAGAAGGUGCACGGCAGCCCAUAUAUCUAGUUACCGCGGAUGAUGUGGACACUAUACUAGCCGUUGAGGUCCAGCCACUAGAUGACCGAGAAAGAAAGGGGGGCAUCGUUAAGGUUUAUGCUAAUGAGGAAAGAAAAAUUCCUUGCGAUCCUGAAACAAAGGAGCUUAUCAAGCAAACCCUUUCAGUUGGCCAUGUGUCUUAUGAAGUCCUUCUGCCGGCGGUUCCGGUCUUAGAAACGUGGGAACCUGCUGUAUUGGCAGUAACGAGGAAAGGUUACAGCAUUAAGUGCAACGGACAGCGUGGUGUUGUUGCUACAGAGACAUUCCAGCAAUACAUGGCUAUCAGUAUCCCAUGUGGGCGUCCUACUGAAUUUUCACUUCAGUCUGCUGAUGGUGAUGAGUAUAGUCUCAAGCCUGCAGAAAAUUCCCAAUCACGAGAUACUAUUGUUCUAAUACUGAGGGCGUUCAGGAUGCAGGUACAUGAUGAAAUGAAAUGCAGGCUAUUGAGAAGAUUAGAGCGAAGAUUGGGCGCCUCCAAGUUGGAGUAG